UACAGAGGGUGCAAGCGUUAAUCGGAAUUACUGGGCGUAAAGCGCACGCAGGCGGUUGGUUAAGUCAGAUGUGAAAGCCCCGGGCUCAACCUGGGAAUUGCAUUUGAAACUGGCCAACUAGAGUAUGUGAGAGGGGGGUAGAAUUCCAAGUGUAGCGGUGAAAUGCGUAGUGAUUUGGAGGAAUACCAGUGGCGAAGGCGGCCCCCUGGCACAAUACUGACGCUCAGGUGCGAAAGCGUGGGGAGCAAACAGG
rnacentral:rRNA from 1 species